AAAUCCCCAAGCCAAAUAACUCGUCUACAUCAAUAUAUACCAAAUUAGAAUAUAAAAAGAGAACAAAGUUAUGUAAUAGUAAAGAUAAACACAGUUAUCCAUGUAAAUGGUGUUUAGAAUUACAGAUGUUGGUAAACAAACCUUACAAGGGACAGUAAAAAGCACGACUUUGUCACUUCAAAUGCAUUGGAAACUAAAAUAAAUUAAUUCAAUUUUCAUGUAAGGGAGAAUAUUUCCUUCCCAUGUUCUUUAGAUCCCCACAAUCUUCUCAUUUAUUUAAACCCUUUUGCAACUUUUGCUGGUUGCAAGUAACAAGAGUACAGCUUGCUUAAU
rnacentral:misc_RNA from 1 species